rnacentral:rRNA from 1 species
CCCGCUGAACUUAAGCAUAUCAAUAAGCGGAGGAAAAGAAACCAACAGGGAUUGCCUCAGUAACGGCGAGUGAAGCGGCAACAGCUCAAAUUUGAAAUCUGGCCUCUCGGGGUCCGAGUUGUAAUUUGUAGAGGAUGUUUCGGGUACCGCUCCGGUUUAAAUUUCUUGGAACAGAAUGUCAGAGAGGGUGAGAAUCCCGUCUUGGACCGGUGGUAGGGCCUAUGUGAAACUCCUUCGACGAGUCGAGUUGUUUGGGAAUGCAGCUCAAAAUGGGUGGUAAAUUUCAUCUAAAGCUAAAUAUUGGCCAGAGACCGAUAGCGCACAAGUAGAGUGAUCGAAAGAUGAAAAGCACUUUGGAAAGAGAGUUAAAUAGCACGUGAAAUUGUUGAAAGGGAAGCGCUUGCAAUCAGACUUGCACGCAGUUGAUCAUCCGGUGUUCUCACUGGUGCACUCGGCUGUGUUCAGGCCAGCAUCAGUUUUGGUGGUUGGAUAAAGGCCAGAGGAAUGUGGCUUCCUUCGAGGAGUGUUAUAGCCUCUGGUGCAAUGCAGCCUACUGGGACUGAGGACCGCGCUUCGGCUAGGAUGCUGGCGUAAUGGUUGUAAGCGACCCGUCUUGAAACACGG